rnacentral:rRNA from 1 species
AACGAACGCUGGCGGCAUGCCUAACACAUGCAAGUCGAACGACACCUUCGGGUCUUGUUGCGCUCGGGUGCGUGCCGCGUGGGAACCUACCCUUAGGUUCGGCAUCCUUUCCCGAAGGGGGUGCUAAUACAGGAUGAUGUCAUCGCACCAAAGAUUUAUUGCCUUGGGAUGGGCGCGGGUUGGAUUAGCUGGUUGGUAGGGUAAAAGCAUAUCAAGGCGCCGUUCGCUAGCUGGUCAGUGAGCAAGAUACGCGACACUUGGGCUGAGACACGGCCGAGAGUCCUACGCGAUGGAGGAGUGGGGAACAGAGGACAAUGGGGGAAGGCCUGAUCCAGCAAUGCCGGGGAAGUGAUGAUGGUCGUAGGGAUGUAAUGCUCUUUUAACCGGGAUGAUAAUGACGGUACCGGGUGAAUAAGCACCGGCUAACUACGUG